rnacentral:rRNA from 1 species
CCCUUAGAUGUCCUGGGCCGCACGCGCGUUACACUGAUGCAUUCAACGAGCUUAUAACCUUGGCCGAGAGGCCUGGGCAAUCUUGUUAACGUGCAUCGUGAUAGGGAUAGAUUAUUGAAAUUAUUAAUCUUGAACGAGGAAUUCCUAGUAAACGCAGAUCAUCAAUCUGCAUUGAUUACGUCCCUGCCCUUUGUACACACCGCCCGUCGCACCUACCGAUUGAAUGGUCCGGUGAAAUCUUCGGACUCUGUGUUUAUUGAUUCGUUUCAAUUUACUACUGGAGAAAGUUGAGUAAACCUUACCAUUUAGAGGAAGGUGAAGUCGUAACA